rnacentral:rRNA from 1 species
GACGAACGCUGGCGGCGUGGAUUAGGCAUGCAAGUCGAACGGUAUCAUCCUUUCGGGGGUGAGAGAGUGGCGAACUGGUGAGUAACACGUAGGUUAUCUACCCUCAAGACGGGGACAACCCAGGGAAACUUGGGCUAAUACCGGAUGUGAGCAACUUUUAGUUGUUUGAAAGGUGGCGUAAGCUGUCGCUUGGGGAUGAGCCUGCGUCCUAUUAGUUAGUUGGUGAGGUAACGGCUCACCUAGGCAAUGAUAGGUAGGCGGCCUUAACGGGUGGUCGCCCACACUGGGAUUGAGAUACGGCCCAGACUCCUACGGGAGCAGCAGUCGAGAAUAGUCUACAAUGGCCGGAAGGCUGAUAGUGCGACGCCGCGUGAACGAGGGAGCCCUUCGGGGUGUAAAGUUCUUUUCUAUACGAGCAGUGCUAUAUAUAUGGAUAGUAUAUAUAGAGGGAUAGUAGUAUAGGAAUAAGCAACGGCUAACUCCGUGCCAGCAGCCGCGGUAAACUCGUCUAC